rnacentral:tRNA from 1 species
GUCUGGGUGGUGUAGUCUAUCACGCUAGUGUCACACACUAGAGGUCCCGGUUCGAACCCGGGCUCAGACA